rnacentral:lncRNA from 1 species
UUUUCUUUAUUUUCUUGGUAACCAAACAGAGGGUCAGAUUUCACUCUCAAUGCUUUUUAAGUUGGGUAUGCUAUUGCUGGUAGGUUUCAAUUCUAAAGUUUCUCUUUGAACAGCCGUGGAACAGAUGGGACGGAAAUUUUUGUUAGUUAAUGGUCGUUUCUAGUCGGUAAUGUUGUGUUGUAUAAGAAAUAGACUUUGUUUAGAUACAGAGCAAAUAUGAAAAAAGCAAUUAAAAUUGAAUUUUCACCAACAAUGAUCCGGAGCAUAAAUUUUCAAAUACAGAAACAUGCCAACUUCACUGAAAAUUCACAAUGCUGAGGGGCGUUUUCUAUUUUUCUUUUUGGAAGCAAAAGAUGAGAAAUAAGUUGUUUUCUUUUGUUGCUCUAUUUUCUUGGAAACCAAAUAGAGGACUAGAGUUUCUCUUUGAGUACUUUUAACCUGUCUAUGCUAUUGUUGAAAAUUUUGAAUUCCAGGAUUUUAUUAUGGACUACAGCUGAAGCAGAAUUUUGAUAAAAUUAAUUAUCUAGGAACAUUAUAUUGUACAAUUAUAUAUAUAAAACAAUUCUUGUGCUUGAAAGUGAAAAAUAAAUAAAAUGAAUUUGAUUUUAUCAUAUUGAUUUUUAUAUUUUUAUUAAUAAAUUAAUAUAUAAUUUAAAAUAAUAAAAAUAGGAUUAGUUUUUUUUUUUAAUGACAAAUCUUAACAAAUUUAAAUUGAACAUAUUUUAUCAAAGAGUAGCGUGGUCCAAUGGUUGAACCGUUCAUGAUUUGUUUCCCUUUUUUUUUUUUCUCACUACUAAAACUGAAAAGGGCCACUCACUUCUGUCACUCCAGGCAUCAAGAAGCCCUUGUCUGAAGUUGCCGUCCAGACGAGAGAAUCCCUAAAAAGGCCCUAUUUUCCUCUGCCACUCUCAAUCCUCGCAGGUACUAAUCUCAUCGUGUUAUUUUAUUUGUUUUAUUUUUUUUGCAACCCCCGUUUGAUUCCCAAGAAAAUCCAUCCGCCAUUUUAUUUCCGGGAAAAUUCAUCCUCGUUUGAUUUCUGAGACAAUCCAUGCAAAACCCCCGAGGAAAACCAAAAAAAUUGCUUUUUUUUUUGCUCCCUGUGUUUUCUGGAUCUGUUCUAGGGGUCUCUUUGCUUUUGUGCCAUUGGAUUUAAAUUUCACGAACCCUAAAUCCACGAUUUUUAGCCAGGCUGAAAAACACAACCCUUGCCUGCAAAUCAUGAUCAGAUUACCAAAUAACAUCUUAUGUUUUUUUUUUUCUAGAAAAAAAAAAAAUUGGACAGAUUUUGUAUCCUGUGCGUAGGCUGGACUGGUAAGAAAUGUCGGGAAAUUUCCCGAAAAAUCGGUAAAAAUACCGAUAAAUACCGAUCGGCGAUAUUCCCGUAAAAUUACCGAAAUUUCCAUCGACCGACAAUUGGUGACGAAUAUCGUAUCGGAGCCGGCCGAUAAGCGAAAUUUCGGAGAAAUAUCACAGAAAAUUUUCGAUAUUUCAAACACUGCAUGCUUGUUGGGUUUCAAAUCAAAUGGGUUCUUAUUCCAGGCACUUAAUUUUGUGGCUUUGAACGGGUCUUUGCCUCUUUCAACCGAUCAAAUGAAGGUGCGGAAAUGGUAAUAUUUCAUAUUUUUAUUUGUUCUUGUUAGUUAAAUUCUAAUAAUCUAUUCUCCUCUUUUGGUCAUGUAGGUUGAUUUUGGUUUCGCCUACAUUAAACUUGAGAUCAGAAACCUCAAAUUUUCCACAUAUUAGAUCUUUAAUCACUGGGUACGUUCUGGUUUGCUUUGUGAUUUAUUGAGGAAAAAGUAUGGAUUGUGUGGGAUGGUUGAAAAUAUUUAGUUACUAAGAAAGCCCACAACCUUUCAUUUAAAUCCAUAGAUUUCAUACCAGCUCGUGUCUUGCAACUUGUAAGCUUUUUUCCUUUUAUGUCUCAUUUUUUAAUACAUUAUUAUUUUCUCUUAUUAAUUAAUUAUUUGAUAUAUAUAUAUAUAUAUAGUGGUAAAUUUUUAUGUCACUAUAAUAAUGUUACUUCUUUUUAUAUUCAAAUAUAUAAAUAAAAAGACAAUUUAUUUUUUUUCGUUUUUAUUAAAUUGUGCACUUUGGCGUGUCCUUCAUGUCAAAUAAGUUUGGCUUUAAUUAAUCUAAAUUGAUAUUUAAAAUAAUACAAUAAGACACUUUCAAUUUCAUCAUAUAAAGUUUAAUAGUGUUUGAGAGAUAACAUAUUAUGGGAAAAAUACUGAAAUGGGUGAGUAUAGUCUUUCAGUAUUUGUUUAAAAAUUUAUUUUUUAUUUUUUCAAUUCACUUAUUAAAAUGUUUAAUAUACGUAAUAUAUAUAUAUUUCCAAUUUGCAAUUAUGGUAAGUUAGAAUAUAUGAAAAAAUUAAAAGAACUUAAUUAAAGUCAAAUUCUCAAUUAAAAUGAUCAUCUAAUUUAUACUAUAACUAAAUUUAAUUUACAAAGGACUUAAUUUAGGUUCGACUAUCAUCACAUGAACUUAAUUAAAGUUAAAUUCUUAAUUAGAAUGUUCACCCAAAUCUAACAAAGUACGAAAUUCCCAUUAAGUUCUCAUUUAAAAUAUUUCAAAUACAUUUUGACAUCAAUAGAUUGAAAUUAAGAUAUAUUUUAGAACUAUCGAAUUACCUAACAUAAAUAAUUGUUUUACAUAUAAUUUAACGAAAAUAAUAUAUACAUUUAAUUAUUAAUUAAAAUUUUGUUAAAUAAGUUUAUUAUGCAAUUGCUAAUAUAGAUUAUUAUUUAACUUACUACAAUAAUUAUGUUUGACUUAUGAAAAAAAUGAAAGAUUAUUUGACUUUCAUUAAUUACUCACUUAUUUACAUGUGGCGUGUAUUUGUAUUUAUAAAAUUAGGGUUGUGAUUUGUGUUCAAUUAUUAGGAUUAAUUCAUCAAAUUUAGAAUUCAAAUGGGAGAAUUAAGAACAUUAAAUCUUAAUUUUUAAUUUUUAAAAUAAAUUAAAAUGAUUGAUUUUAAUAAAUAUUUAGAUGAAUGUGAAAUAUGGUUUGGAAAUAUUAGAGAAAUUUUGUUUGAAUGGAUGAUAAUUGAUUUGUUUUGAUUUAUUUUAAUAUAAUUGAGAAUCAGAUAAGUUAUGAGAUAAAAAUAAAAAGACUUUUUCCGAUAUGACACAAGUUAAAAAAUUGAACUUUUUUCGUUAACACGUCUUAGAUUUUGUUGUACUCGUAGAAUUUGAUCAAGAUCGGCCCAGUUACAGCCCAAUAGUUCAAAACUUGGGCCGGCCCAUACCUGAGUGAACUCACAUAGCCUAGGCCCUCAGUCAGUCUAGACAAAAGCAUCCAAUUAUCCUUCUCAGAACGCUGCGUUUCUGUCGAUCUUUGAAUUCAAGGGAUCCGAUCUGCGUCUAAGGCGAUGUUUGAGUUGAAGGUACUUUUCCAAUAUCUAUUCCCAAUUCAUUCAAUCGACUUCUACAUCACACACAAUCGAAAUAAUGGGAAAAUGAAAGAAAAUUUUUAAUCGUAAUCUUUUCACCAUAAAGUGUUCUAGAAUAUGGUAACUUGCACUUUACCUAAAACUCAUAAUAUUCUUUGGCUUCGUUUAUCCAAGUAUUUUUUUUUCUUGUUUCGUUUUUGAAUUUGACAGCAAAGACAAUGAGAGAGAUAUCAUAGUAAUGAAAAUGUUGUUUUUCUUUAUUUUCUUGGUAACCAAACAGAAGGUUGGAUUUCACUCUCAGUGCUUUUUAAGUUGGAUAUGCUAUUGCUGGUAGGUUUCAAUUCUAAAGUUUCUCUUUGAACAGCCGUGGAACAGCUGGGACGGAAAUUUUUGUUAGUUAACGGUCGUUUCUAGUCGGUAAUGUUGUGUUGUAUAAGAAAUAGACUUUGUUUAGAUACAGAGCAAAUAUGAAAAAAGUUAUUAAAAUUGAAUUUUCACCAACAAUGAUCCGAAGCAUAAAAUUUUCAAAUACAGAAACAUGCUAACUUCACUGAAAAUUCACAAUGCUGAGGGGCGUUUUCUAUUUUUCUUUUUGGAAGCAAAAGAUGAGAAAUAAGUUGUUUUCUUUUGUUGCUCUAUUUUCUUGGAAACCAAAUAGAGGGCUAGAGUUUCUCUUUGAGUACUUUUAACCUGUCUAUGCUAUUGUUGAAAAUUUUGAAUUCCAGGAUUUUAUUAUGGACUACAGCUGAAGCAGAAUUUUGAUAAAAUUAAUUAUCUAGGAACAUUAUAUUGUACAAUUAUAUAUAUAAAACAAUUCUUGUGCUUGAAAGUGAAAAAUAAAUGAAAUGA